rnacentral:rRNA from 1 species
CUGGCUCAGGAUGAACGCUGGCGGCGUGCUUAACACAUGCAAGUCGAGCGAUGAAGUUUCCUUCGGGAAACGGAUUAGCGGCGGACGGGUGAGUAACACGUGGGUAACCUGCCUCAUAGAGUGGAAUAGCCUUCCGAAAGGAAGAUUAAUACCGCAUAAUGUUGAAAGAUGGCAUCAUUAUUCAACCAAAGGAGCAAUCCGCUAUGAGAUGGACCCGCGGCGCAUUAGCUAGUUGGUGGGGUAACGGCCUACCAAGGCGACGAUGCGUAGCCGACCUGAGAGGGUGAUCGGCCACAUUGGGACUGAGACACGGCCCAGACUCCUACGGGAGGCAGCAGUGGGGAAUAUUGCACAAUGGGGGAAACCCUGAUGCAGCAACGCCGCGUGAGUGAUGAAGGUUUUCGGAUCGUAAAGCUCUGUCUUUGGGAAGAUAAUGACGGUACCCAAGGAGGAAGCCACGGCUAACUACGUGCCAGCAGCCGCGGUAAUACGUAGGUGGCGAGCGUUAUCCGGAUUUACUGGGCGUAAAGGGAGCGUAGGCGGAUGAUUAAGUGGGAUGUGAAAUACCCGGGCUCAACUUGGGUGCUGCAUUCCAAACUGGUUAUCUAGAGUGCAGGAGAGGAGAGUGGAAUUCCUAGUGUAGCGGUGAAAUGCGUAGA